UACGGAGGGUGCAAACGUUGCUCGGAAUCAUUGGGCGUAAAGCGUGUGUAGGCGGUUUGUUAAGUCGGGUGUGAAAGCCCUGGGCUCAACCCAGGAAGUGCAUUCGAAACUGGCAAACUUGAGUACGGGAGAGGGUCGCGGAAUUCCCGGUGUAGAGGUGAAAUUCGUAGAUAUCGGGAGGAACACCAGUGGCGAAGGCGACUUCCUGGCCUGUUCUUGACGCUGAGGCGCGAAAGCUAGGGUAGCAAACGGG
rnacentral:rRNA from 1 species